rnacentral:rRNA from 1 species
UACGGAGGGUGCGAGCGUUAAUCGGAAUAACUGGGCGUAAAGGGCACGCAGGCGGGCUUUUAAGUGAGGUGUGAAAUCCCCGGGCUUAACCUGGGAAUUGCAUUUCAGACUGGGUCUCUAGAGUCCUUUAGGGAGGGGUAGAAUUCCACGUGUAGCGGCGAAAUGCGUAGAGAUGUGGAGGAAUACCGAAGGCGAAGGCAGCCCCUUGGGAAUGUACUGACGCUCAUGUGCGAAAGCGUGGGGAGCAAACAGG